rnacentral:rRNA from 1 species
CCCUUAGAUGUCCUGGGCCGCACGCGCGCUACACUGGCACAUGCAACGAGUAUAUCACCUUGGUCGAGAGGCCUGGGUAAUCUGCGAACGUGUGCCGUGAUUGGGAUAGAUUCUUGCAAUUUUUAAUCUUGAACGAGGAAUUCCUAGUAAACGCGAGUCAUCAACUCGCAUUGAUUACGUCCCUGCCCUUUGUACACACCGCCCGUCGCACCUACCGAUUGGAUGUUUCGAUGAAGCCCUCGGACCGUCGCGCGUCUCCUUCACUGGCGACGCGUGGUGGGAAGUUGUCUAAAUCUCAACAUCUAGAGGAAGGUGAANUCGUANCA